GGUUAAGCGACUAAGCGUACACGGUGGAUGCCCUGGCAGUCAGAGGCGAUGAAGGGCGUGCUAAUCUGCGAUAAGCGCCGGUAAGGUGAUAUGAACCGUUAUAACCGGCGAUACCCGAAUGGGGAAACCCAGUGUGAUUCGUCACACUAUCAUUAACUGAAUCCAUAGGUUAAUGAGGCGAACCGGGGGAACUGAAACAUCUAAGUACCCCGAGGAAAAGAAAUCAACCGAGAUUCCCCCAGUAGCGGCGAGCGAACGGGGAGGAGCCCAGAGCCUGAAUCAGCAUGUGUGUUAGUGGAAGCGUCUGGAAAGACGCGCGAUACAGGGUGACAGCCCCGUACACAAAAGCGCAUGUGCUGUGAGCUCGAUGAGUAGGGCGGGACACGUGGUAUCCUGUCUGAAUAUGGGGGGACCAUCCUCCAAGGCUAAAUACUCCUGACUGACCGAUAGUGAACCAGUACCGUGAGGGAAAGGCGAAAAGAACCCCGGCGAGGGGAGUGAAAAAGAACCUGAAACCGUGUACGUACAAGCAGUGGGAGCACAGGUUUACCUG
rnacentral:rRNA from 1 species